rnacentral:rRNA from 1 species
UUACGGGAGGCAGCAGUAAGGGAUAUUGCACAAUGGGCGCAAGCCUGAUGCAGCAACGCCGCGUGCCCGAUGAAGGCCUUCGGGUCGUAAAGGGCUUUUCUGACCGAAGAGACAAGGACAGUAAGUCAGGAAUAAGUGUCGGCUAACUACGUGCCAGCAGCCGCGGUAAAACGUAGGACGCAAGCGUUAUCCGGAGUUACUGGGCGUAAAGCGCGGGCAGGCGGCCUGUAAAGUCUGAUGUGAAAGCGCCCGGCUCAACCGGGCGAGGCCAUUGGAAACUAGCAGGCUGGAGGGCAGUAGAGGCAGGCGGAAUUCCGGGUGGAGUGGUGAAAUGCGUAGAGAUCCGGAGGAACACCAGAGGCGAAGGCGGCCUGCUGGGCUGCACCUGACGCUGAGCCGCGAAAGCCAGGGGAGCGAACGGGAUUAGAUACCCCGGUAGC